AACGCGAAGAACCUUACCAAGGCUUAAAUGUAGUUUGACCGUUUUGGAAACAGAACUUUCGCAAGACAAAUUACAAGGUGCUGCAUGGUUGUCGUCAGCUCGUGCCGUGAGGUGUCAGGUUAAGUCCUAUAACGAGCGCAACCCUCGUCCUAUGUUGCCAGCACGUGAUGGUGGGGACUCAUAGGAGACUGCCGGGGUCAACUCGGAGGAAGGUGGGGAUGACGUCAAAUCAUCAUGCCCCUUAUGUCUAGGGCUGCAAACAUGCUACAAUGGCCGGUACAAAGGGCUGCGAUACCGCGAGGUGGAGCGAAUCCCAAAAAGCCGGUCUCAGUUCGGAUUGGGGUCUGCAACUCGACCCCAUGAAGUUGGAGUCGCUAGUAAUCGCAGAUCAGCAACGCUGCGGUGAAUACGUUCCCGGGCCUUGUACACACCG
rnacentral:rRNA from 1 species